UACAGAGGGUGCGAGCGUUAAUCGGAAUUACUGGGCGUAAAGCGUGCGUAGACGGCUAUCUAAGUCGGGUGUGAAAGCCCCGGGCUCAACCUGGGAAUUGCAUUCGAGACUGAAUAGCUAGGGUACGGUAGAGGGAAGUGGAAUUUCCGGUGUAGCGGUGAAAUGCGUAGAUAUCAGGAGGAACACCGGUGGCGAAGGCGGGUCUCUGGGCCGAAAUUGACGCUGAGGAGCGAAAGCGUGGGGAGCAAACAGG
rnacentral:rRNA from 1 species